AUUGAACGCUGGCGGCAGGCCUAACACAUGCAAGUCGAACGAGUGGCGGACGGGUGAGUAAUGUCUGGGAACCUGCCUGAUGGAGGGGGAUAACUACUGGAAAAGGUAGAUAAUACCGCAUACCAUCAGAUGUGCCCACAUGGGAGUAGCUUGUUGGUGGGGUAACGGCUCACAAAGGCGACGAGCCCUAGCUGGUCUGAGAGGAUGACCAGCCACACUGGAACUGAGACACGGUCCAGACUCCUACGGGAGGCAGCAGUGGGGAAUAUUGGGCAAUGGGCGAAAGCCUGAUGCAGCCAUGCCGCGUGAAUGAAGAAGGCCUUCGGGUUGUAAAGUACUUUCAGCGGAGAGGCGUUACCCGCAGAAGAAGCACCGGCUAACUCCGUGCCAGCAGCCGCGGUAAUAC
rnacentral:rRNA from 1 species